UAGCCUGAUUGAGUCUUGUAGUGGAGAACGAAAAGUUCCAAUAAAUUCAGCACUUCUCAUUCUCCACUACCGACUCAAUAUCUCCUGGAGCGUAGGGAAACACAGGUGUUUCAUCAACCCCAUACGAGUGUCUAAGGUGGUAAUAGAUUACUUGUAAGGCCGCAUUGUGGCGAUGGAUAUAGGACGACACUGUAUACUUCGGACAAGUCGACAGCAUGUUUCUGGUGCAGUGCGACAUGCCCUGCACCGGAUGUUCGGAAUGUCCAUACCCAUCACGCGGCUGCGGUAGACGAGCGUGUUAAAAACACCGUCUUGGCAGGCUAUGAUAAACCACUCCGUCUCCGACUUUAACCCACCUGUGUAUAUAACAUCGACCUGUUUCGCUGCUUCUAAUUGUUUUGAAUGUAUUGCGUGAGGGUAAUUAAAUUUGUAGUGGUUAAUCUUCCUGAUACAAAUUCGUGCUGAUAUUGCGAGAUAAAAGGCAAGGUUAUUUAAUUUUGAUAUGGAACGAUAAUUUUUAAUCGAGAUUUUGUCACCUGUUUUGAAAACCGGUGUAACCUGAGCCCUUUUCCAAGCGGAUGGAAAUUUUGAGGUUUUUAGAAUAAGAUAAUAAUAAUAAUAAGAUAAUAAGAUUGAAUAUAUGUGUUAAAGAAUCAAGAAGGAUAAAUUUGGCAUCUCGAAUGACAAGUGCAGGAGUUUAUUGUGACUAACUGAUUAAAUGUGAAGUGUUGGAAGAUAAGAAUGUUGAUCUACUAAACUGAAGUUUGCGGACGAAGAACAUAAUCGAAAGAAGACUGUAGCAAAUCCAUUGACAAUAUCUUGACCUGACUCAUAGAUUUCUCCAUCACCACACAGUUUACCUGGGACACUAUCUCAUAUGAACAUACUUGAAAAUAUCCUCAGGGUCAUGGAUCAUAUUUUGUUCUGAGGAUUUUUUAUUAUUACACUGUUAAACCAAGGAGGAUAGAAGCAUUUCAAAGACAACCAUUAGCCCCAUCCACGUCAGUGCAAGUUUUCAAUGGAGUCCAAUUAAUAGAAAGAAGGUCAUUGUAAAGAGUUGUGUUUCUGAAAUUAAACUUUUUUAAUUAUUAUUGGGAAAUAUGGAUUUUUCUUCAAAAUUAUGUUAAUACUCAUU